rnacentral:rRNA from 1 species
UACGAAGGGGGCUAGCGUUGCUCGGAAUCACUGGGCUUAAAGGGUGCGUAGGCGGCUUGUUAAGUAGGGUGUGAAAUCCCCCGGCUCAACCGGGGAAUUGCGCCCUAAACUGGCGAGCUGGAGUGAGAUAGGGGUGUGUGGAACUUCCGGUGGAGCGGUGAAAUGUGUUGAUAUCGGAAGGAACGCCAGUGGCGAAAGCGACACACUGGGUCUCAACUGACGCUGAGGCACGAAAGCCAGGGGAGCAAACGGG